rnacentral:lncRNA from 1 species
CUGUGAAUCCAUCCUGCCUCAAGAAUUUAUAAUUAGAAAUUAGCACUAAAGGAGAUCUGUGGAUACCUGUCCUUCAAGCAACAAAUUUAAAGGAGGAAGAAAAUGAAAAGCUACUACAAAAAUAAUUAAAAUCUCGAAAGGACCAUCAUCUGAGUGGUCCCAUUAGUUACGCCCAUCUACGUCAACCGUAUCAAGUUGACGUCAUAAGUCUUAAAUGUAGAAGAUAGGCGUAAAGGUAGGAAUGUAUGGCACCAGAUCCGAGGCACUUUUGAAGUACUCUCUUCAUCUGAUUCUCA